GCCGACGUAGCUCAGCUGGUAGAGCAACGGUUUCGUAAACCGUAGGUCACGGGUUCGAAUCCCGUCGUCGGCUCCA
rnacentral:tRNA from 1 species